CUUUUUCCUUUGAAACUAAAAUGGCUUACUUUAAGAAGCUUAUCUUAUUAAACAUGGUUAUGAUAUUUGUGCUACUCUUAUCAAUGAAUCUGGCUGCAGCAAGGUUGCCCUUUUGGAUGUCCGAAUCUCAUCAGAAACCAUAUGGACGCAUCCUUGAGGCAUCAUAUGAUCCAGAAGGCCAUAAUUAUUAUGGUCAUCCAUGAGAAGUCAGAGAUUACAAUAUUGGGUUUUUCAAGGAAAACUUUGCAGUGCAGAAGCAUAUAGAGGAGAUGAUCCACAAGACAGAGAGUACAGCAUUGGGUUUGAAGGAAAACUUUGCAGAGCAGAAGCAUAUAUAUUUAUUACUGUUUAUAUACGUAUUGUAAAUAAUUGAUUAUAGUACUGCACUGGGAACUUCUUGAUGUACCUUUUUCCAGCUAUAUUAUAAGAAUACCGAGGUUAAUAAAGGUUAAAAA